rnacentral:rRNA from 1 species
AGAGGAAGUAAAAGUCGUAACAAGGUUUCCGUAGGUGAACCUGCGGAAGGAUCAUUAAUGAAAGUUGGGGAGCUGUUGCUGUUGAAUGGCAUGCACGCUCCCUGUAUACUUUUUGACUUACACCUGUGCACUCUUGUAGGAGAUGGUGGAGGAGGUCUGUCCCCCUCUGCUUUCCUAUUUUCCUCACAUACUCAUAAACAUGAAUGUCUCUGGGUGAUGAACUAUUUUAUUAUUACAACUUUCAACAACGGAUCUCUUGGUUCUCGCAUCGAUGAAGAACGCAGCGAAAUGCGAUAAGUAAUGUGAAUUGCAGAAUUCAGUGAAUCAUCGAAUCUUUGAACGCACCUUGCGCUCCUCGGUAAUCCGGGGAGCAUGCCUGUUUGAGUGUCAUGAAAUUCUCAACUCGGAUGGUUUCUUGUAUUCCAUCGYGAGCUUGGACUUUGGGGGUUUUUGCCGGCGUCUGUUGUUGGCUCCCCUCUAAAUGUAUUGGCCGGAUUUGUCUGGCGGCUUGGUGUGAUAAUUAUCUAUGCCUUGCUUGCCAUUUCCAUCUGUCUGGUGACU